rnacentral:rRNA from 1 species
AACAGCAGCCAUGCUACCUGCACUUCAGACUAGGUAAUCACCUAAAGCUGAGCAGGUCUGGGCCGGGCCAGUACCUCGAAGGGAGACCAGGCAGGAAAGCUGGGUUGCUGCUGGAG